UCAAGAAAUAUUGUUAAUUUUGUCUUGUUUGAUCUCAUUCUUUUCAAAAAUUUCCGGCUUUUUGAGCUUUUUUCUCUCACAAGUAGGUAUAUAAUUUCUGACAGUUUUUUGCAUAGUUCAUGUUUAUUUUGGGUUAUUUAUUAUUUUACUUUUGCUUGUGUUUCUUCGUACUCUGUUUUAUUGCACUCACUAUUUGUUGUUAAAAAUAUCUAUGGUAUCUAUUUCGUUUUUUUCAUGAUUUUCUGUUCUAUCUAUCUCGUUAUCUCAACAGUAUAUAUUAUAUAUAAAUACAUAAACAAACAAAAAUUAUGACAUUUACAGAAAGCAGACUUACACAACUGUAAAAUAUUGGUACAUACAAUAAGAGACAGAAAAAGAAAAAUAUGAAUAAAUAAAAUUGGAUGAACAAGUAAUUUAAAAAUACGUACCAAAAACAGGAACAUAUAUCAUACAUAUAUUUAGUAUAAAUUCUCAUUUAUGUUUGUCCUUUCAUAUAUCUUUUAAAUAUUUUACGUAUACGACUCAGAAAAUCAAUCCUAUUCUCAUUAUUUUAUUAUGUAUCUGGCAACGUUGCUUCUCCUUGCGCAAGGGCAUGGCCAAGUGCGUCAUGAAUGAGUCCGUCGCCUUGUUCGCGAAAUCUCCAGUCUUGCCCACUCUGCUGUUAUACGUACGUAGGAUACGGUUUUUGGCCGUGCGGUUGAAAGUGGAAGAACAACUGCAUGGACAAACGGAAGAAAAUGAUCGCAGGACGUGAGAGAGUUUCCAAAUGUCAAGUUUCUUGAAUUGUGUUCGACAUUACGCAGGAGUAAAGUGGAAAAAUGCCGAUCUUAGAAGCUUUGAAACUUCUCAAAAUAGUCAAUAACUGCCGACAUUACCUCUUCAUUGUUAGAAAAUCUUUGACGACCAAGCCAUUUUUUCAAGUCUGGGAACAGAAAAUAAUGCGAUAGAGCUAACUUACGCGUGUAGGGUGCAUAAGUUAAAUGCGGCCGUUUUCGCUUGAUUUCUUCGCUCAAACGUUGGAAUAAGUUCGCAUAAUUCUCCCCGUUGAUAGUGAAUGGAAAUUAUCCUCUGCGCAUUCCAAAAAACCGACGUCAUGACUUUACCUGUAGAUGGAACAGUCUUUGCCUUCUUUGGAGCCGGUUGUUUUUAUUGUUUUUUUGCUUCGGGUCUGAAGUGACGGACUCACAUUUCACCAUGGUUAUGAAACGGCGCGAAAAUUGGGCUUUGUUUCUGUGAAACAUUACCAAACACUUGAUGGGAACAUCUUCUCGACGCUGUUUUUAAUCCAUAGUCAUCAAACGUGGCACCCAUCUUGCGCACAGCUUUUCAGGUAAUAUACCGGUAUAACGCACUUUUUGAAAUUCCUACCAUGUCUGCUAUCUCGCUUACUUCCAGUCGACGAUCAUCCAUUACCGCCUUUGUGGAUUUUCUUAAACAUUUCUGCAGUCGCUACCUCAUUUGGUCGACCACUGCGAAAUUGGUCUUCGGAGGUUGU